rnacentral:lncRNA from 1 species
CCAACCACUACAGAUAUGCAGACCCUGACAACAGAACACCAGUUGCUGACCAACUGGCAUCUUGUGGCCUUCUGUCAUAAGAAGCAAUUUUGAUAUAGUUCUCCUUCCAUCCUUUCUGGAGGAUGAUGGAUCCUCCUUCACCAAAGAAGCUUAGGCUUUGUGGGAGCAGCAACAAACCUGAGCCAAUGGAAGCUGAAAGUGACAUCAAGCCCAUGGAGGUAGGACUGUCUCCAGAGGAACAACAAGCAGAGAAAUAACAUCCUCUUGAAGCAAUUGGUUGGCCAGUCAUACUUCUGAGUGCAAAUCUUCCAAAGGAGCUGCAGGUCACAGGAUGCAGGAAAGCAGUUGCACACAGAAAAAUUGUUUUCUUGGGCUAUCGUUUACCUUUUAAUCCUCUUAUUCUUUUCUCUGCAGAAUAAAAUGUUGUGGUAGUUUAGGUUGUUGUUGUAU